rnacentral:rRNA from 1 species
AGGGAAUAUUGCACAAUGGAGGAAACUCUGAUGCAGCGACGCCGCGUGAGUGAUGAAGGCCUUCGGGUUGUAAAGCUCUGUCGCACGGGAAUAAGAAAGUGAAUGUACCGUGCAAGAAAGGAUCGGCUAACUUCGUGCCAGCAGCCGCGGUAAGACGAGGGAUCCAAGCGUUGUUCGGAAUCAUUGGGCGUAAAGCGGGUGCAUGUGGCCCCAUAAGUCAGGUGUGAAAGCCCAGAGCUCAACUCUGGAAGUGCAUUUGAUACUGUGGGGCUUGAGUGCUAGAGAGGUAAGUAGAAUACCUGGUGUAGUGGUGAAAUACGUAGAUAUCAGGUGGAAUACCGGAGGCGAAGGCGGCUUACUGGCUAGACACUGACACUCAGACCCGAAAGCGUGGGGAUCAAAC